CCUACGGGAGGCAGCAGUGAGGAAUAUUGGUCAAUGGCCGAGAGGCUGAACCAGCCAAGUCGCGUGAGGGAAGACGGCCCUACGGGUUGUAAACCUCUUUUGUCGGGGAGCAAAGCGAACCACGUGUGGUUCAUUGAGAGUACCCUAAGAAAAAGCAUCGGCUAACUCCGUGCCAGCAGCCGCGGUAAUACGGAGGAUGCGAGCGUUAUCCGGAUUUAUUGGGUUUAAAGGGUGCGCAGGCGGAGGUGCAAGUCAGCGGUAAAAUUGCGGGGCUCAACCCCAAAUUGCCGUUGAAACUGCAAGCCUUGAGUGCGGGAGAAGUAUGCGGAAUGCGUGGUGUAGCGGUGAAAUGCUGAGAUAUCACGCAGAACUCCGAUUGCGAAGGCAGCAUGCUGG
rnacentral:rRNA from 1 species